CCCGGGGUCCGCUUUAGGGCUCGGGGGGCGGAGGGUGGGGGGCCGCAGACCCCCCCCCUCAGGUGGCUUAGACACCCUCCAAGGGGGCUCAGCCCCCCUCCAAGGUGCCCCAGGCAGCCCUAAAGGGGCUCAGUCCCCCCCUCAGGUGGCUCAGACACCCCCCAAGGGGGCUCAGUCCCCCCCCUCAGGUGGCUCAGAUCCCCCCUCAGGUGGCUCAGACACCCCCCAAGGGGGCUCAGUCUCCCCCUCAAGUGGCUCAGACAUCCCUCAGGUUAACUCCCGUCCCCUCUCGUCCCCCUGUUUCUUCCUCCUGGAGAGGAUGACAGGGAAAAACCCACAACAGUGGGCUCCGUGUGUUGAAACAGUACCAGGGGGGGCUGCCCAAGUCCAUUUUGGAGCCCUGUUUCCUAGUGAGGUCCCUGCCGGCCUUCCCUGCCUGGCGUGGCCCUGGGCCCCCAGAGAAGCAGGGCUGCCACACUUCAGGCUGGCUUACACCUGGUGAGACCGCCCGGCAUCACCCAUAACCAUUAUACAACUACACGGGGAUUUAAUUCCAACACAAUCGUAAUCCCCUGGACUGUCUGCCAAGGGGAAAACAUCCCUGGUACACUGAGGUGGGAGUUUAAAAACUAGGCUUUGUACACACACAGUUCUUUAGUAUAAGGGAGUGUGUGUGUAUGAAGGUUGUUUAGCUUGCAUUACACUAUUUCUUACUUAAAAUUACCUUUUAUUUUUCCAGAAGUUAUUUAUAUUACCUACUUAAUAAAGGUCAUGCUCUUUGCAACAACACCACAUCUGUGGAUCAUGUAUACGCUACUGGUUAGGAUAUCCAGAUUGAAAAGGUAAAACUUUUCUGCAUAGGCAAGCCGGUGACACAAUGCAGAAUCCCAAAUUGUUAAGUCACCAGAAAAUACAAUAAAUUUGAAAAUCUUGAGAGAGGGAACAGCCAUAAUUGCUUAUUACUUCGGCUCACGUGGGGAGUGUGGCAGCUCUUAGCAAGGCUGCUCAACAGCU